UUAGAGUUUGAUCCUGGCUCAGGACGAACGCUGGCGGCAUGCCUAAUACAUGCAAGUCGAACGCUGAAGCACUCUGCUUGCAGAGUGCGGAUGAGUGGCGAACGGGUGAGUAACACGUGGGGAAUCUGCCUAGGAGUGGGGGAUAACAUUCGGAAACGGAUGCUAAUACCGCAUAUCUUCAUAGACCGCAUGGUUCUUAAACGAAAGACGGCUUCGGCUGUCGCUCUUAGAUGAUCCCGCGGCGUAUUAGUUAGUUGGUGGGGUAAAGGCCUACCAAGACCAUGAUACGUAGCCGACCUGAGAGGGUGAUCGGCCACACUGGGACUGAGACACGGCCCAGACUCCUACGGGAGGCAGCAGUAGGGAAUCUUCCACAAUGGGUGAAAACCUGAUGGAGCAAUGCCGCGUGAAUGAAGAAGGUCUUCGGAUCGUAAAGUUCUGUUAUUAGAGAAGAACAAGUCAAGGAGUAACUGUCUUGACUUUGACGGUACCUAACCAGAAAAGUCACGGCUAAACUACGUGCCAGCAGCCGCGGUAAUACGUAGGUGACAAGCGUUGUCCGGGAAUUAUUGGGGCGUAAAGGGAGCGCAGGCGGGUUGAAAUAGUCUGGAGUGAAAACCCACGGGCUAACCGGGGAAGGUAUUGGAAACUGUCCAACUUGGAAAACAAAAAAGGUAAUGGGAAUUCCAAGUGUAGCGGGGAAAUGCCUAAAUAUUUGGAAGAAACCCCGGGGGCGAAGGCCACUUUUUGGGUUUUUA
rnacentral:rRNA from 1 species